CGUCGCAAGUCGCGACGCGCUCUGCGCAGAGCCCGCAGCGUGCCGCUCGCGCAGUUGUCUGCUGGCAGUCCAGUAGCAGUAGACAGUAGACAGUAGACAGUAGCUGUAGCUGUGCAGCUGUAGCCUUGCGUUCAGUCCAGCUUUUGAUGGUUAUGCGCUCGCGUUUGGCGGGUUCUUUUGAAAACGAUUCAACGAUCGAACUUGGCACGCGCUGCCUUUCAUUUUGGUUUUAUGUGAGUUCGGUGCGUGUUUCUUAUUCCAAAUUAUAAUAUACUUACAUAUGUGUGUAUGUUGUUUGUUUAUUUAUUUUUGUUGUGUGCAUCAAGUGAAGUGAAACAGUGGGCAGCCAUUAACAACGAGCACAACAACUGCAAAAGAACCCCAAUCGACGCCGAGAAGCGUCAUGUUGUUGUCGCUGUCUUUGCAAUAUGUAGAACAAACGCAACAACAAGAACAGCCUGCUCAAGUAAUCCAAUGCGAUUUUUGGCCAAGAAUAACAACUCCAUUAAAAAUCGUGUAAAAAACGGGCUUCAGUUCAUCUAAUUUAACAGGGGAAGCCAGCACUAAAAAGUUGUUAAAACACCGACAUUUUUAAUAUUACCGGUCCGAAAAGUACUCGAAGCAAUUGCCAGAAGCAAGUAGAACGAACAAAAGCACAUUGAAGCCC